UGUUAGCCAGGAUGGUCUCGAUCUCCUGA
rnacentral:piRNA from 1 species